rnacentral:rRNA from 1 species
UCUAAUACCGGAUACGACCUGGRAGNGCAUGCUUUCGGGUGGAAAGCUCCGGCGGUGAAGGAUGAGCCCGCGGCCUAUCAGCUUGUUGGUGGGGUAAUGGCCUACCAAGGCGACGACGGG